AGGGAUGCAUUGGCACCUGCACCCAGAGCCAGGAGCAAGCGCAGAAGCAAUCGGCCCCUUGCUUAUUUCUCGAGCUGGGCUUUCUUCUCUGGUCACUGUUUUCUCUCUGCCUACUCUUAGAUGCUUGGUUUAACCUUUGAGGCACCUCUUGAU
rnacentral:miRNA from 10 species